rnacentral:rRNA from 1 species
GAUGAACGCUGGCGGCGUGCCUAAUACAUGCAAGUCGAGCGAACAGAUGAGGAGCUUGCUCCUCUGACGUUAGCGGCGGACGGGUGAGUAACACGUGGAUAACCUACCUAUAAGACUGGGAUAACUUCGGGAAACCGGAGCUAAUACCGGAUAAUAUAUUGAACCGCAUGGUUCAAUAGUGAAAGACGGUUUUGCUGUCACUUAUAGACGGAUCCGCGCCGCAUUAGCUAGUUGGUAAGGUAACGGCUUACCAAGGCGACGAUGCGUAGCCGACCUGAGAGGGUGAUCGGCCACACUGGAACUGAGACACGGUCCAGACUCCUACGGGAGGCAGCAGUAGGGAAUCUUCCGCAAUGGGCGAAAGCCUGACGGAGCAACGCCGCGUGAGUGAUGAAGGUCUUCGGAUCGUAAAACUCUGUUAUUAGGGAAGAACAAAUGUGUAAGUAACUAUGCACGUCUUGACGGUACCUAAUCAGAAAGCCACGGCUAACUACGUG